GAAAGAGGAAAGAAUGGAAAUUGGAAAUGAAAGUAAGAGAUUUGGGCAGGAAAAUAGUGUUCCCUGCCUGCUGGUGUUCACUCAGCAGGUGGGAAAUGUCUUCAAC